CAGAAAAGAAAACUGGCUUUCUUGAUUGAUAUGAUUAAUUACCACCCACGCAAAGCAAGAUCUUCUGUUUGUUCCUGUUCCAAUCCUCGCGUCUUUGCCUAUGUAUUUUGAGGAAAGUGUUCCUGCCUUCAUGUUCCAGUUGUUUCAUGUACUUUGGAUUCUGCCUUGAAGAUCAUGUUCCUGUUUUAAGCCUUGUCAUCUAAAGAUUUAUUUGCUGUUUCCUGGGACACUGAAACCUAUCUUGAUUAUUGCUUUUCUUAUUGCAUUGUUGCCUUACUUUUUGCUACCUUUUUUCCAAUAAACUGUUUAU
rnacentral:lncRNA from 11 species